AGCGAACGCUGGCGGCAGGCCUAACACAUGCAAGUCGAACGGACCCUUCGGGGUUAGUGGCGGACGGGUGAGUAACACGUGGGAACGUGCCCUUUGGUUCGGAACAACACAGGGAAACUUGUGCUAAUACCGGAUAAGCCCUUCGGGGGAAAGAUUUAUUGCCAUUGGAGCGGCCCGCGUUGGAUUAGGUAGUUGGUGAGGUAAAGGCUCACCAAGCCUGCGAUCCAUAGCUGGUCUGAGAGGAUGAUCAGCCACAUUGGGACUGAGACACGGCCCAAACUCCUACGGGAGGCAGCAGUGGGGAAUCUUGCGCAAUGGGCGAAAGCCUGACGCAGCCAUGCCGCGUGAAUGAUGAAGGUCUUAGGAUUGUAAAAUUCUUUCAGCGGGGACGAUAAUGACGGUACCCGCAGAAGAAGCCCCGGCUAACUUCGUG
rnacentral:rRNA from 1 species